AAAGCCAGCCGCCCCUGUUCCAUAAGUGACAUGAGAGUGAUGUAAAUGCAGACAUAAUUUUCUGGGACAGACAUUGUCAUUAAAGUUUCAGGUUGCAUUUGAAUAGAAGGUUUGAAGUCACAGAAUCUGUAUUUGACGAAAAAGAGAAUAUAAUCUUUAACCAAAUAUUUGUGGGUAUUUGAAUUUACACUCUUUUGGCAGGUAUUUAAAAUUCAUCAUCAGCUUCAUCAACAUUCAUGAAUCUAAUCUACAUUUUGUCAAUAUAAUUAACUAAAGAAAGUCCUUGCAUCAUAGGCCAUAAACUAACAUCAAGUUCAAAUUAAUCUGCUUCAAAUUCUUAACCAUCCAAUAUAUAUCUCAAAGACUGAAACAUAGUUUACCUCUUCAGAUACCUCCUUCCAUG
rnacentral:misc_RNA from 1 species